UGGCGUAGUAGACAGCGCACUAGUCUACAAAACCAAAGGCCCUGGGUUCGAGUCCCGG
rnacentral:tRNA from 1 species